GAUCCCCAAUGACCAGGAGGAAGGGAGGCAGCAGCUUGGGAAUCCCGGAGUCCUCCCUGGUUUGUAAAAUGGAAGCCUGGGAAAGAACACCCUUUCCUAGAAAAUGACAAGCAAGUGAACAAAAACAACCCUAAGACGCCAACCUUCCUGCCACCCAGGGAACACUUGUCACCAUGCCAGAGGUUUAGGGGCCUUGGGUGGGAAGAAUUCGUCCAACCACUCUGCUGAGUCUGUGUUAGAAAAAAGAUUAAAGAUGUGGCCAGGACAUGAAAUCUGAUGUGAACUGAAGCUGCUCAGAGGUCUGUGUGGUCCUACCUACACGUGGAUGCCACCAUGAAGGACCAUCUCCCUGCACCACUGACAUUUCUCUUUAUGCCCGUGUCUGCCCCAUUGGAUGGGAAGUGCCUCCAGGGCGGGACUUCGUCUCAGUAAGCUUUGUGUCCACCAAUGUCUGCUGGAUCCAGGACCUGAUUGCACCAGGGAGAUCAAUAAAAGUUUGCCGAACAUCUUA